GGAGGGAUGUCCGAGCGGCUGAAGGAGCACGCCUGGAGAGCGUGUAGACGCGUAAGCGUCUCGUGGGUUCAAAUCCCACUCCCUCCGCCA
rnacentral:tRNA from 1 species